GAGCGGGUAGGGGGCGAGGAAGUCCGCGGAGUCCUGGGCUGAGGGGUGGACUCCACUGGCACUUGGUCUAAGAAGAAACAACGUUGUUUAUAUGACAGUGUCUGACUUCUCUGCUUUUUCCUCAAAGCAGUUAAAGGAGGACGAGAGCCAGAAGUCGCGUCACGAAGACGAGUGCCGACCCUGAGAGAAACACCCCGAAGGAUCCGGGGCAAGUGGAGGAUCCCGAAGCGCAGCGGAAGCGCUCGGUCACGAUGUGGUCCGCGAGACUGAUGAGAUGCUUUACCCGGGGUAGUGGUGGCCGUGUGUAGGUGGAGGCAGCUGCCGCGGAGGCUACGACUGCCGUGACACCGCGAGGGUCCCCAGUCCCGAUUCUGGGCGGGAAUCCACGAAGAGUAAUCACUGUUUGGGUUGGAGCAGAAAUGGAAUUCCUUUCAGAGUCAAGUAUCUGUGAGAUCUGUUUUCCCUGCUCAGUUGUUCAGUGAACAAAAGUUUGUAAAAAAGCCUUCAGACAGCGAAGAGGAAGCAUGAAUACUAAGAAAGUAAAGGACCAAAGCCUCGGAAAUGCAGCCAGGGACUUCGAUUGUGAGCCAAGUACUGGGGAUGGGAGCCGUGAGAACAUGAUCAGGGUUUCACCAGUCACGCCUUCAUGGUUAGCCAAUCAUGUUUCUAAUUAUGGAAUUCUCCAGGGGAGCUGCAGUUUAUUUUAGAUUCAUAUAUUUUUAAAAGAUAUUUAUUUAGCGUGCAAGAAGGGAAAGGGGCAGAGGGAGACAGUCUCAAGCAGUCUCUCACUGAGAGGGAGCCCAACAUGGGGGGGGGGGGUAAGGGGUGUUUGAUCUAAGGACCCUGAGAUCAUGACCUGAGAGGAAAUCAGUAGUGGGUCUCUUAACGUUCUGAGCCACCCAGGCGCCCCACAGUUUCAUAUUUGUUUUUUAACGAAAGCGAAGUAAAGCCAAAGCACUCUAUUCAGAGUCGUCUUAAUAUUUGAAAUAAUAACUUUUAAAUUGUAUAUGUGGUAUGUUCCAGACCCUGUUCUAAACACUUUACGUAUGUUAUCUCAUUACCUUGUAAGACAAAUUCUGAUAUGUAUUAUGUUUAAGGAGGGAACUGGUGUAUACAGAGAUUAAAUGACUUGCCCAAGAUCACCCAUUUACUAACUGGUGAAGCUCAAAGAUGAACAGUCUGAUACCAGAACCUGUGCUUGCAACCAAUAUACUUGUAUGGCUACCUCAGUAAUGGCAUGUUAUAAGCUCCUUAUAUGUACUAACUCAAUCAUCCAAGAACCCUUUGCUGUUUAAUCCUCACAACAACCCCAUCUUACGGAUGAGGGAAAUGAAGUAGAAGGAAGUGAAGUGUUUUGUGCAAGAUCACGCUGCUGGAAACAACCAACAGUAUAUUUUAAAAAAUCACGGAGUUGAUGGACCAACAGUUCCAAGAGUACAGCAUUGCUGUUCUUUAUCUCUUGAUUUCCUAGAGCAGCUCAGAUCUUCUCACUGAAAUACACCCAAGCAAGAGGAAAAUGAACAAGUCACACACAAGUUGGGAAGAGAAAGACGGCUGUCAAUUAGCCUACAUCCAAAUCUGAGCUGAGGAGGAACAAAGAGCUACCUGAAGAAAUGAGUAUCUGGAACGAACCACAGAGGUGAAGAUGGCCACUGGCCAAUGGAACCAGCUGCCUGGGUCCACAUUCACAAGCCCCCUUCAUGGGCACCACUGAGGUGCAGCAAGGACAGCAGAGCUGCUGGGCCCAGUCAUUACAAUUUCAGGAAAGGAGAAGGAGCUCACUCUUCAGACAUGGUCUUCAUGCUUCUGUGCUCCUUCGUGGCCUUCUCCCAGUUCAUGUGGUUGAAUCCCUCAGUGACCACACUCCACACAGUGUCCUCCUCCAGGCGGUGUGGGGUGAUUCCAGAGCCUCCAGGGUGGGAGCGGGGCAUGUAAGAGCUUUGAAGGACACCACUCUUAACAGAAGUGUGAUGAGAGAAAAACUCUCUGAAGACCUCAUACACAUGGGAAGCCGUUUUAUUUUUUUUAAAAGAUUUUGUUUACUUAUUUGACAGAGAGAGAGAGAUAGAGAGAUCACAAGUAGGCAGAGAGAGCAGGGGAAGCAGGCUCCCUGCUGAGUAGAGAACCCGACAUGGGGCUCGAUCCCAGGAAGCUGAAAUCAUGAACUGACCUGAAAGCAGAGGCUUAACCCACUGAGCCACCCAGGUACCCUGGGAAGCUGUUUUAAAUUUCUUUCUAAGGUAGCAUGACUGGGCAGAAACUUGUUGAAACCAAGGGCCUAAUGUGUGCACCCCCUCCACACCUACAUUGUACAUCUGCUUUGUAAAUGAGUAGCCGAAGGGAAAACCAGCUUGUCCUUGAGGUACCCAUGGAUGCUCCUACUCCUGGCAUUCCUUUGUGUUUAAACUCAUUCCUGCCUGUAUGCCAAUCUAGAAUCUUUGAGCUCUUGACCUGUAAAACCUGUUCCUUCUCUAGGACAUUUUCUUCCCUGUGGCGAGUGUUUCCCCGGCAGGCAGCCUAAGCUGGGCUCAAAUAAAACUUGCUUUUAGGGAUUCUGACAGGUCUGUUCAUUUGGCUGGACAGGGGUGCUGGCCUCCGUGCACGCUGAAUGUGUGUGUGCUGAUGCCCUUGGCUCCCUUCAGGCUUGGGAGGCCUGAGCAAGGAAGUGUCUGUUCUGCUGCUUCCUGUAGACACUGUGGUUGCAACCAGAGAGGAGCAAGUUGGCUGAGUCCCAAACGUGGUGGAUGCCUCCCGCUUGGCUCACUGGGUGCUGGUUUCCCAUGGUGUCCAGCAGCAGCUUGGUGGCACACUGACGGCUCCUGUAAAGUCUCCUACUGGUCACCAGGGGAGGAGAGCAGCUGUGCGGGGCCACCUCUUGGGCCCAGUGACCGCUGGCCCCACUGCUACUUGUUCCUUGUUCUGGGGGUGCCUCGCUGACCCCAGCUUCUCUGCCCCUGCCACCGGCUGGCCCGUGGAGUGCUGUCUGUGGCCGGUGUGCAGGCCCUGAGGCCACGGCUGCUUCUGCCCAUGUGGCUUGGUGGCCCUGCUGCUCUUCACUAGCAACAUUAACUUAGCAGCCUUAUUUUAUCUUUAAAAGUCAUGUGCUUUGCACUCCAUAAUCUAGCUGGGCACUGGCAAUAGAAAAUAAGAUUCGUUCCUUAACCUUUAGAAAUCAUAGUUAAAAAUGAAAUCGAUAUAUGCCGAGU